CCACUCCAGACCGCUAGGUGGCAGUAAAUACGCCAUAACGUCAACGCCUCGAGGCAAAGAAGAAGAAUCACUAGAAGACACCGCGCAUGCGCAGCGCGUGUAUAUUUUCCAGGCGGCGCGUGGGUAUGUCGGUGUUCAGGGAAAAGAUGUUUGCUGAUCGGCGCAGAGUCAGAGUGAAGUCCUGCAGUCGAGCACGUGCUUGGAGGUGAAGAGAUGCACAAGAGGAGGAAGGUUGAUUCUUACUUCACUCUGAGUCAACUUCAUGAUUCAUAAGAAAUCUGAGAUGAAGAUCUUAAAAAAGAGCCAGCAUUGACUGAGAUUGCUCUCAGUAGUCUGUCAGUGUCCUGAGUCCUUGGCUGCUUGGGAUUCUCGGAGGUCGAGAUCCAUUGGCGAUGUUGGAUUUGCGAGAAGACGCAUGAAUAAAGAUUGUAGCUGUAAAUUCAGGUUUCAGUGUGCUGUGGUGGAGGCGGAGUUGUGUAGUUUGAUGAUGGAUGUUUGUGGUCUACACAUUCUCCAGCUCUUAUGUCAAUGUUUCUUAAAUUACUGUGCAUUAAAAUUACUGAAACACUAACAUGGUAGAGUGUGACGCUGUUUAUUUUCCUGUUAAUAAAAACCUCACAACUGA